rnacentral:sRNA from 1 species
AUUCUCCCCACUAACAUAGAUUCGUCCUCGAAUCUAGUUUCACCCUUCCACUCCGAGAAACUCCGUACAACUAUCACUACAGUCCGCACUCCCUCCAACCAGAGCCCCUCUAGGUCUCUCUAUCCAGUCGAUAUACUCACGAUUUACUAGUCAUUGUUGCUCACAACUCACUCUCCACUCUCAGACUGCAAUCUUCGAGCAUAAACCGUCACUCUCAGGCCUCGGCCUACGGUAUCUCGGGUAUCACACAUUAUCUUCCCCACUCAAAGUCAAACCCUGAGUUGUGUCGGCUCACUGUCAGCCACAAAGUCAUCGAGUUACGACACUUGGAGAAAAUAAUACCACAAAACUCACUCUCGGGUCGUCACCCUAAAGCGUGCUCUCGGAUCGUCACCCGAAGCCACCAUACCCCUCGUACUCUAAAGACACCAUGUCCCUCGAGUUACUGGUACCUCAGGAGCAUACCCCACUCCUCACGAGUCGUUGGGACCCUCAUGUCCCUCGAGCAACAAUACUAAAUGCUUCCGAGCAUAUCUCCAAACUCUCUCAUGGAUUCGCGUAAGACACCUCUAUGCCUCACCAUCCAUCAUAUCCCCUCGAGAACAUCCUUAUGACCAACUCCCGGCCAUCUCGUAAACACACCUUUCUCUUAGGUUGUUUACUCAAACUUUCCAAAAAUAGACAAGUCCUUUCUAGGAAACUUUCCAUUUUUGGAAACCGCACAACACAUUUUUAAAUAAGACAACUCAAGUCAAAUCCAAGAAAAAAAAUACUCAUCUUAUUAAUCAUCAACUGUCAUGAUCGUUACAACUCCAAACGAAAAUACAAAUAAAAGAGAAAUAAGAACAACAACUCAAAAGCUCAAAAACUCAACAACACUGAACAUAAUCUGCACCAUAUAUGCUCCUCUCCCCCACUUGGGUCCAGCAUAACGGUGUCCUGCAUGGCCUCCCGUACAACGCUUCAAAAGGAGCCAUCCCAAUACUCGCCUGAUAGCUAUUGUUAUAAGCAAACUCUACCAGACUCAAGUGAUCCGCCCAAUGACCUCCCCAGUCCAAGACACACAUCCACAACAUAUCCUCAAGCGUCUGAAUAGUCCUCUCAUAUUGUCCAUCUGUCUGUGGAUGAUAAGUCGUGCUCAUCUGCACCUUAAUACCCAUCUCUGCCUGAAAGGCUCUCCAAAAUGCAGAAGUAAACUUGGAAUCCCUGUCUGACACAAUACUCACAGGUACUCCAUGCAACUUCACGAUCUCGCUCACAUAUUUCUUAGCCAACACCGCCGCUCUAUCGGUUUUUCUGAUGGCCAGAAAAUGUGCUGACUUAGUCAGACGGUCCACGAUCACCCAAAUAGCAUCUUUGGUUCGCGACACAGGCAACCCAACCACAAAAUCCAUUGUGAUAAAAUCCCACUUCCACUCAGGAAUGGGUAAACUCUGCAACAUGUCACCUGGCACCUGAUGCUCAGCCUUAACUAACUGGCAAACAUCGCAUUCUGCAACCCAAUUAGCUACAUCCCUCUUCAUCCCGACCCACUGAUAGUACCGCUUGAGGUCUCGGUACAUAUUAGUCGCUCCUGGAUGAAUGGAAAACAUGCUCGCAUGUGCCUCACUCAAGAUCUCCCGUCACAACUCCUCAUCCUUAGGCACACAAACUCGCCCAUGCACAAGGGUAGUCCCAUUAGGUGCAAACUGAUACUCAGAGCCCUCUGCCUUAGAGCCGCAAUCAACCCCUCAUCCUUCUCCUGAGCCAACAGAACUCUAAUCAGAAGAUUUGCUCGAUCCACAGCUUCCAAUCCCAAUGGCUCUCGUGCCACAGCACACAACCUCAAAGCACCAAUCUCACUCACCAAGGCCUCAACACUCUGCCCUGGAGUCGUGCCCACGCGCUUACGGCUCAACGCGUCUACAACCACAUUAGCCUUACCAAGAUGGUAAGCUAUCUCCAGAUCAUAAUCAGCCACCAACUCCAUCCAUCGCCUCUGCCUCAGGUUCAGCUCUGGCUGAGUGAAGAUAUACUUCAAACUCUUAUGAUCCGUGAACACCUGCACUUUCCCGCCAUAAAGAUAAGACCUCCAAAUUUUUCAAGGCAAAGAUUACUGCAGCCAUCUCUAAAUCGUGAGUAGGAUAGUUGCCCUCAUGCUUCCUCAACUGCCGUGAUGCAUAGGCAAUGACCUUCCCACGCUACAUUAGAACACAACCCAAACCAACUCCCGAGGCAUCAGUAUACACCAUGUAAGGCUCUCCAUGCUCUGGCAAUGCUAACACUGGUGUACUCGUCAACAUCUCCUUCAGGCUCACGAAACCCUCCUCGCACUCCGGUGACCACAGAAAAGGAACAUCCUUCCCUGUCAGCUUAGUCAUCGGUUGUGCCAUACUCGCAAACCCCUUGACGAAUCUCCUGUAAUACCCUGCCAACCCAAGAAAACUCCUGAUCUCAGUGGCAUUCGUCGGUCUAGGCCAAUCUCUGAUAGCCUCAAUCUUCUCUGGAUCCACUGAAACUCCCUCUGCAGAAACAAUGUGACCCAGAAAACCCAUCUUUCUCUGCCAAAAACUGCACUUACUCAACUUAGCGAACAACUUCUGCUCCCGCAGCUUCUCCAUUACUCUCCUUAGAUGUUCCUCAUGCUCCUCAGGACUCUUAGAAUACACCAGAAUGUCAUCAAUAAAGAUGAUCACAAACUCAUCCAAAAACUCCUGGAACACGCUGUUCAUCAACCUCAUGAACGCUGCAGGUGCAUUAGUCAACCCGAAAGGCAUCACCACGAACUCAAAAUGUCCAUAUCUCGUCCUGAAAGUAGUCUUGCGAAUAUCUGCCUCCGCUAUCGGGAUCUGGUGAUAACCCGACGUCAAAUCGAUUUGGGAGAAACAAGUAGCACCCCUCAACUGAUCCAACAACUCAUCGAUCCUUGGCAAAGGGUACUUGUUCUUCACAGUGACCCGGUUCAAACCCCGGUAGUCAAUACAUAAGCGGAAACUCCCGUCCUUCUUCUUCACAAAUAACACCGGCGCUCCCCAAGGUGAAGUACUAGGACGAAUGAAUCCCUUACCCAACAAAUCCUCUAUCUGCUUCUUUAGCUUUGCCAUCUCUGCUGGAGCCAUCCUGUAGGGUGCCUUAGACAACGGCGCUGUCCCUGGUUCCAACUCAAUCGAGAAAGGAUUAGACCGUGAUGGUGGUAAUCCCUGCAACGAUUGAAACACAUCCUCGAACUCCUGAAUAACCCGAAUGUCGCUCACUGCUACCUGCCCCACAGACUCCGGCAUAGAUAUCGUCACCAGGUAAGCCUCGCAUCCCUUCUCGAUCAUUUUCUCUGCCUGCAUUGCUGAGAUGACGAGACUCCCUGAGGUUGGGCUCACUCCCUGAUAAACCAACCUUCCCUCUGGCCGCUCAAAAGAAACUCUCCCACGGUGGCAGUCAAGAUGUACUCUGUAAUGAUCCAACCAAUCCAUUCCAAGAACAACAUCAUACAACUCUACAGGGCUGAUAAUCAAAUCUGCUGGCAUUGACGCCCCUACAAUCUGAAUAUCCACACCCUUCGCUCUCCCCAGAACCGCUAGAAACUGCCAUCCAGCAACCUUGACGGCUCCCACAAGAAAAACAUCCUGCACGACCACCCUGUCCAGCUCUGGAAGGAUGAUCCCACUUCCUCUUCUGCCCCUGCGCAGGCUUGCUGCCCUUGCUAGGUGCCACCUGCUGCUGAGUCUUCUUCGGUUGUACCGCUGGGCUCACUCCCACCUCCUGCCUCUGAAGGUCCUCCUCUACCUCAGCAGCCGUCUCCACCAGUGCCGCCUUCGUGGCGUACUACGACACUCUACACCGCACCCUCAAAUCCGGUCG